rnacentral:rRNA from 1 species
GUGACAGCAGCCGCGGUAAUACGGAGGAUGCAAGCGUUAUCCGGAAUGAUUGGGCGUAAAGGGUCCGCAGGUGGAACUGAAAGUCUGCUGUUAAAGAGUCUGGCUCAACCAGAUAAAAGCAGUGGAAACUACAGAACUAGAGUGCGUUCGGGGCAGAAGGAAUUCCUGGUGUAGCGGUGAAAUGCGUAGAUAUCAGGAAGAACACCGGUGGCGAAAGCGUUCUGCUAGGCCGCAACUGACACUGAGGGACGAAAGCUAGGGGAGCGAAUGGGAUUAGAUACCCCUGUAGUCC